AUCUUCUUCACCAUGGACGUGUAUACCAAGGGAGACUCCAUGGCUAGGGUUUCAAGCUUCCAAGCUCGAUUAUGAAGGAAAUCGAGAUUCAGGCUUACAUCGGGAAAAUACAAGGUUAUGGACUAAAAUGGUAAGUUACUGUUUCUGGAUCGAGGUAAGUUCAUAUGAUAAUAAUAAUGCAAUGUUAUGUUUGAAUUAUAUUUCUUACUAUUAUUGCAUAUAUUUUAUGAUUUAAUAUAUUGGAAAAGUUGAUGGAAUGGUGUUUAUGAUGUGGAAAUAUGACAUGAAAGAAUGUUACAUGAAA